rnacentral:rRNA from 1 species
GGGGAAUAUUGGACAAUGGGCGCAAGCCUGAUCCAGCCAUGCCGCGUGUGUGAAGAAGGCCUUCGGGUUGUAAAGCACUUUAAGUUGGGAGGAAGGUUUCUUGGCUAAUAUCCAAGGAAAUUGACGUUACCAACAGAAUAAGCACCGGCUAAUUCCGUGCCAGCAGCCGCGGUAAUACGGAAGGUGCGAGCGUUAAUCGGAAUUACUGGGCGUAAAGCGCACGUAGGCGGUUACUUAAGUCGGAUGUGAAAGCCCUGGGCUUAACCUGGGAAUUGCAUCCGAUACUGGGUGACUAGAGUACGGUAGAGGGGGGUGGAAUUCCAGGUGUAGCGGUGAAAUGCGUAGAGAUCUGGAGGAACACCGGUGGCGAAGGCGGCCCCCUGGACUGAUACUGACGCUGAGGUGCGAAAGCGUGGGGAGCAAAC